AUUGAACGCUGGCGGCAUGCCUUACACAUGCAAGUCGAACGGUAACGCGGGGCAACCUGGCGACGAGUGGCGAACGGGUGAGUAAUGCAUCGGAACGUGCCCAGUAGUGGGGGAUAGCCCGGCGAAAGCCGGAUUAAUACCGCAUACGACCUACGGGUGAAAGCGGGGGACCGCAAGGCCUCGCGCUAUUGGAGCGGCCGAUGUCAGAUUAGGUUGUUGGUGGGGUAAAGGCCUACCAAGCCUACGAUCUGUAGCUGGUCUGAGAGGACGACCAGCCACACUGGGACUGAGACACGGCCCAGACUCCUACGGGAGGCAGCAGUGGGGAAUUUUGGACAAUGGGGGCAACCCUGAUCCAGCCAUGCCGCGUGCGGGAAGAAGGCCUUCGGGUUGUAAACCGCUUUUGUCGGGGAAGAAAUCUUUCGGGCUAAUACCUCGGAAGGACGACGGUACCCGAAGAAUAAGCACCGGCUAACUACGUGCCAGCCGCCGCUGUAACAC
rnacentral:rRNA from 1 species